rnacentral:tRNA from 1 species
GGGGAUUUAGCUUAAUGGCAAUGCAUCUGCCUUGCAAGCACAAGGUCCUGAGUUCAAUCCCUG